AUUGAACGCUGGCGGCAGGCUUAACACAUGCAAGUCGAACGAGUGGCGGACGGGUGAGUAAUGCUUGGGAAUCUGGCUUAUGGAGGGGGAUAACGACGGGAAACUGUCGCUAAUACCGCGUACCAUAGGCUGAGACCAAGCGGGACUAGGUAGUUGGUGGGGUAAUGGCCUACCAAGCCGACGAUCUCUAGCUGGUCUGAGAGGAUGACCAGCCACACCUGGACUGAGACACUGCCCGGACUCCUACGGGAGGCAGAAGUGGGGAAUAGUGCGCAAUGGGGGCAACCUGACGCAGCCAGGCCGCGUGAAUGAAGAAGGCCUUCGGGGUGUAAAGCUCUUUCGGUGACGAGGCGUUAAUCACAGAGUAAGCACCGGCUAACUCCGUGCCAGCAGCCGCGGUAAUUC
rnacentral:rRNA from 1 species